rnacentral:rRNA from 1 species
GUGAACGCUGGCGGCGUGCUUAACACAUGCAAGUCGAACGGUAACAGGAAGUAGCUUGCUACUUUGCUGACGAGUGGCGCACGGGUGAGUAAUAUAUAGUUAAUGUGCCUCGAAGACUGGGAUAGCCACUGGAAGCGGUGAUUAAUACUAGAUACACCUUUUAAUCAUAAGAUUAAAAGGGAAAUGUUUUUUCGCUUCGAGAUCAGACUAUAUCCUAUCAGUUAGUUGGUGAGGUAAGAGCUCACCAAGGCAAUGACGGGUAGCGGGUUUGAGAGGAUGAUCCGCCACACUGGUACUGAGACACGGACCAGACUCCUACGGGAGGCAGCAGUGAGGAAUAUUGCACAAUGGGGGGAACCCUGAUGCAGCAACGCCGCGUGGAGGAUGACGCAUUUCGGUGUGUAAACUCCUUUUAUAUGUCAAGAAAAUGACGGUAGCAUAUGAAUAAGCACCGGCUAACUCCGU